GCUCUCAAAUGGGACUCUCACACUUCCGCUCCGUAGGACGGGCCCUGGAGCUGCUUUUGUUGGGAACACAAGCCCACUCCUCUCCCUUAAACUGGAAUGAUCUGGUUAAGUGUGGGAAGAACAGGUUGCUGCUAUUGAAAAUACCAGGUUGCUUCAAAGGAUUAACCGCAAGAGGAAACACGCCUGUUAGAGAAACAGUGGAGGAAGCUGCUUAGAGCACGCGAAAAAACCUGUUCGAAAAGGCACAGGAAACGUUAACACAGGGCCCGAGUGUGUGUGUUCACAGGCCAACCUUGAAUGUCUUCUGGGAGUUUCCAGAGAGGGUACGGCUGCUGCCAGGAGCUCCCCAUCUGUCUGUAGUCUUGUCCUGCAAUUGCAAUUCUGCCUCAUCCUCCCCAAGCAGGGAGAAUGGAGCCUACUGGCAGCUGGUGCCAAUGAGCUUGGGCACUCCCAG
rnacentral:lncRNA from 1 species